AUACGGAGGGUGCAAGCGAUACUCGGAAUCACUGGGCGUAAAGCGCGCGCAGGCGGCCAUUUAAGUUGGAUGUGAAAGCCUACGGCUCAACCGUAGAACUGCAUCCAAAACUAUUUGGCUAGAGUGUGGGAGAGGAAGAUGGAAUUAGUUGUGUAGGGGUAAAAUCCGUAGAGAUAACUAGGAAUACCAAAAGCGAAGGCGAUCAUCUGGAACAGUACUGACGCUGAGGCGCGAAAGCGUGGGGAGCAAACAGGAUUAGAAACCCUAGUAGUCC
rnacentral:rRNA from 1 species